rnacentral:lncRNA from 1 species
AACACUAUCACCACCUUGGUCUCCAGGGAGCUUAGGAUGUGCACGGGACUGCAACAGCCAAGACAACAAGUAAGGCAGAGGCGGGGAUCGAACUCGGAAACCAAAUACUUUACGAUGGUCCAAUGGUUCUUGAGGCUUCAAUAGAGAAUUUGCUUCUGACAAAACCUUUAGGGAGUAGCACAAUAGCAACAGCUGAGGUCGCCAAGUUUGGCCAUUCGGGAGAACCUUCACUCCUUCCCGGUUCUUCCUACACAAGGGGUGAUUCUCAACAAGAGAAACAGGAUUCAUCAGACUUGGGUUCAUCAAGCGUAAAUCACCAACGGCCUGUCCUAUAGACUGUUGCACUAUAUGUGAGCACUGCGCUACAAACACAUCAUAGCUCAAUGGGGUGCCAGAUGGGCCAUCAGGAGGGGCAGAAGCAGCAUGGGUCAAUGUAACUAUGGCGUUUUUCCAUAUGGAUGAACCAAGAGAAGCAGUAAUCGUCCUUAGCAAGGGCAAAUUGUUCAAGUCCCUGGUCUGGGUAUCAAGCCGAUCCACAUAAAGAACAAGAUCAGGGGGACACUUCUUCAUUACCUUCUUUACAGAGGACAACAUUUUUGCAUUUGUACUUUGAUCCAUCGCAGCAGACUUCAAACCCGGAGUAUCAAUAAAGGUAAUCUUGACACCACCCACUGUUUCAGAAAUUUCUCUAACUGAAGUGGUUGAGAGCCCAAAAGCAUCAAUGGACGCCUUCUGAUUUCCCAAAAUGGAGUUUAUAGUAGCACUUUUUCCCACUCCCGCUUUCCCAAGGACCAAUAUAUUUAGAGAGAAGUUCAAAUCUUCAUUUCCCUCAGCCUCAGACUCCAUAGCCUUCUUCUUUGCAGCAUCAAGACUGAAUAACUGCCCUGUUUGUCUCCCAGCAAGUAGUGCAAGACGGUAAAGAACCUGUGCUGCAAUUGAAUCUUCUGCGGAAUGCCCCAACCUCUGCAAAAGCCGCAAAAACUUCACACGGAGGCUUUGCAACUUUUCCAAUUUCUGUUUCUCUUCCUCGCUCAAGUUAACCUCAGUCUCAUCCGUCAUUAUGACAUUAGGAUUGGAAAAGAUGUUGGAACGGUUAGCACGUGGAGCUGCUGCAGGUUUCAAGGGCCUUAACGAUGAACUCAAACCAGCAGGUGGAUCCAUAGAGAAAAGCUUCGUUCCAUCCUGAGAUGUUAUGGUAAAAUUGCCACCUUCUGAACUACCACCACCAGUGGCUGCCUUCAAAAGCGCAGCCAAAGCUGCAGAAUCAAACAUUUUCUCCCCCCCUUCAUCCUCUGUGUCUACAUCCUCGUCAGAAUCAGUGACAAUCUGGCCAUCAAUCCUAUCUGACAUAUUGUUAGAA